GUUAACGUAGCAUAAUCCGGCUCUGCAAAAGAUCUAAGCCCUUUUAAUAGAGGUUCAAAUCCUCUCGUUAACU
rnacentral:tRNA from 1 species